UACAGAGGUGGCAAGCGUUGUUCGGAAUUACUGGGCGUAAAGGGUUCGUAGGUGGCCAACUAAGUCAGACGUGAAAUCCCUCAGCUUAACUGGGGAACUGCGUCUGAUACUGGUUGGCUUGAGUGCAGGAGAGGAACGCGGAAUUCCAGGUGUAGCGGUGAAAUGCGUAGAUAUCUGGAGGAACACCGGUGGCGAAGGCGGCGUUCUGGAGCUGCAACUGACACUGAGGAACGAAAGCCAGGGGAGCAAACGGG
rnacentral:rRNA from 1 species